AUUGCAAGCGGUGAUGAAUUGAGAUCCAGUAGAGUGUUCAGAUGUAGACAUGUCCAGAUGUAGACAUUUGAGCAACGGUUCGAUUCAAUAAGUUGAUUGUUGAUUCAUGAUUGAUUUCUUGAGGUCCCUCUAUAUUUGACCCUGAGUAAGGGACCUGUAAGACAGAAGAAGACGGUCAAAAGUCCGACUCUCCGACGCUCAAAUUAAAUAAAGAAUUAUUUAAGAUUCAUAAUAUGAAGAUAAAAUAAAUAAUAAUAAAGCAUUUAAAGGGGAUUUUCGAAGAGCAUGUAUUUUGAGAGUUUCUUCGUAAGUGUUUGAAAGAGAGAGAUAGAUUAACUUUCAGUGAGUUAGUCUGUGAGGGAGAG
rnacentral:lncRNA from 1 species